GCUAAAUGUCACAAUGGCCCUGCAGAUAACAACUCCACAAGUAAGCAUCGAACCACUCCCACAAUAUCUUUCAAAGGCCCACUUAGUUGGCAUGAGAUAUAUCAUAUAUGUUGGUGAAACUUAAAUAUGCAAGAACUCAAAAGUCAAAAGGACCCCAGCAGUAAAGGCUUGGGAUUUCCUUUGGGAGUUCUCAAGUUGAAAAGAAAAAGAAGAAGAAACUUAAAUAUAUAACAUAACUAGUGUGAAUAAGUGAAAGCAUGGAAGUGUCUGAAAACAGCCUAGAUGGUGGAAAAUUCAGCGCAUAACCUGAAAAAAGGACUCCAAUGAUUAAUUUUAUUUGCUUGAAGGAAGGCACUUGCAUGUCCAAAAUAGGGAUAUUUUCCUCAAGAACAUUAACAAAGCAACAUUUAAGCUCAGAAGACUCCAAGAAAUCAAAACU
rnacentral:misc_RNA from 1 species